rnacentral:rRNA from 1 species
UACGGGGGGGGCAAGCGUUGUUCGGAAUUACUGGGCGUAAAGGGCCAGUAGGCGGCCAACUAAGUCGGAUGUGAAAUCCCCAGGCUUAACCUGGGAACUGCAUCCGAUACUGGAUGGCUUGAAUUCGGGGGGAGGGAUGCAGAAUUCCAGGUGUAGCGGUGAAAUGCGUAGAUAUCUGGAGGAACACCGGUGGCGAAGGCGGGUCUCUGGGCCGAUACUGACGCUGAGGAGCGAAAAGCGUGGGGAGCGAACAGG